GAUGAACGUUGGCGGCGUGCCUAAUACAUGCAAGUCGAACGAAGACUGUAGUAAUACUGUCUUAGUGGCGAACGGGUGAGUAACGCGUGGGUGACCUGCCCCGAAGUGUGGGAUAACAGUCCGAAAGGAUUGCUAAUACUGCAUAAUAUCCAAGAGAUUAGAUGCUUUUGGAUUAAAGGAGUAAUUCGCUUCGGGAGGGGCCCGCGUCCCAUCAGCUAGUUGGUAAGGUAAUGGCUUACCAAGGCGAUGACGGGUAGGGGACCUGAGAGGGUGGCCCCCCAAAUGGAACUGAAACACGGUCCAUACACCUACGGGUGGCAGCAGUAGGGAAUAUUAGUAAUGGGCGAAAGCCUGAACUAGCAACGCCGCGUGUGCGAAGAAGGCCUUGGGUCGUAAAGCACUUUUUGAGAGGAUGAGGAAGGACGGUACUCUCAGAAUAAGUCUCGGCUAACUACGUG
rnacentral:rRNA from 1 species